AAUUCUUAUAUAAAUUCAGCCUCAAUAAGGCUGUUAAAAAAUAGAAGCAACGUGAAGACUGUCUCAGACAUACAAAAGUAGAGAGACGCCACUGUCAGCAGCCGGCACCACCAGGCACUAAAGGACAUUUUAGAGUUGGUUUCCAGACAGAGGGAAAUGAUAAGAAAUAAAAAUGAGGGUCUACACAAAGGAACAGGAGUGGGUGUAAAAUGCAUCAGCAAAUACAAAGCGUGUUUUACCGUAUUUUGAAAUCUCUUUAUUGAACAUUGUUUUAAACAGUAAUAAUAAUACAUUUGGGGUUUAUAAGUAGAAGCAAAAUGUCUGCUAACAAUAGCACAAGGGCUGGGAGGUGGGAAAUGGAACCAGGCAGUUGUAAGAUUAUUAAAUUACAUGGGAAGUGAUGCCAUAUUAUUUGUUAUUCUUGGGUAUUCUUGAUAAGUUAAUGCUGUGUAUUGUCAACUCCAGAGCAACCAUUUAUAAAAACAAACAUGAUUCAUACACCACUUACAAAGCUAACAAAAAUGUAAUAUAAACCCAUGCACACUGUGUUCCAGCAGAACUUCAAAACAAUUCUUAAAUGAUGACUUGGUGGGAAUUAGUUACUAGAAUUUUCCUUCAUGGCCUUGCAGACCGAGGACUUCCGCCAGCUUUCGCAUGGGAGAGCGUCCUGGCACGGGGUGUCUUUGACGUGGGCAGACUGAGGACUUCAGCCAGCUUUCAAAUGGGAGAGCGUCCUGGCACGGGGUGUCGUUGACGUGGGCAGACCGAGGACUUCAGCCAGCUUUCACAUGGGAGAGCGUCCUGGCACGGGGCGUCGUUGAUGUGGGCCAUGAGUUUGCACCUUUUCAGAUGGUGGGAAGCCACUCACAAGUGACAGAGGGUGUCACAUGAUACACAAAACCGAAAGGAAGCCCUAAUCCCGGCAGGAAAGGUCUGUGUGAGGAUUCACCAAGAGUGGACGUCCAGGAGUGUGUGACGCCGGAGCCGGUGUGCCCCACGCAUGUGGAGUUCCACUGCCAAGAGAACACAACUCAUCACCAGAGGAGACAGGAUCGGGGAGGAGGCGGCCAGGCCAGCCCUGGCCCCGGCCACAGGAACACUGGCGUCCCCUGGCUGGGAAAGGACAAGGUGUGCUCCAGUUCUGGCCACGUCUGUCUGGUUUCCCCAUCAGAGGUGGUGGCUUGUGAACUAGGAGCGCUCGAGUCCCAGCGCCGUGGCCCAGUCACCAGACGGUGGGUGGGGAGCCGGGCUGGGCCCUCGCCCUGGCCACAGUGCAGCCCGCUCCACUAGCUGGGACCCGGCUUCCUGCAAAACCAAAGCUCAAGGCUGGGCAGGGCAGCCAGCUGUGUCCCAACUCACCCCAAGUUUCUGCACUUCAUGUCCGAGCAGAUGGGCUUUCAGAGGGGACGCUGCCCUAGGGUUUCACAGCCACUUAUGCUGAGUGAUGCCCAAACCUGUAACUCCCAGUCACUGAUCCUAGGAUCCUUGAACCACAGGAUGCUGACCUCAUUUCCCCACCCAUUGGUGGAUGCGUUCAUCAGAGUCUUCCAGAAACCGCGGUGGGGGGAUCGCCCAGGAUCGCACUCAGGAAUCCCGCCGAGGGAGCUCUGUGAAUGCAAUUUAGGCGACCGCACUUUCUAAUGUUUGAAAUAUUGCGUCUAAGGAGACAUUUCUCUAAAUGUCACAGGAGACACAUGCAUGUUUAAGAAAUGUACAUGAAAGAACAUACUUGAGUAUAUGCCAAGUAUGAUGACCUAGCUAUGAUAAUUUUCAAAAAUGUAGCAAUCGUAUUGUCAGAAACUAUUAUUUUAGAGGUUAGAAUGUUG
rnacentral:lncRNA from 1 species